GACGAACGCUGGCGGCGUGCUUAACACAUGCAAGUCGAGCGGAGCGGCGAACGGGUGAGUAACGCGUGAGUAACUGCCCCCCUCUCUGGGAUAACCGUUGGAAAGGGCUACUAAUACCGGACAGUGGGGGGUGACGCGGGGCCUAUCAGCUUGUUGGUGGGGUAGUGGCCUACCAAGGCGACGACGGGUAGCCGGCCUGAGAGGGCGACCGGCGACAUUGGGCUGCGGUACGGACCAAACUCCUAUGGGAGGCAGCAGUGGGGAGUAUGACACAGUGGGGCAAACCCUGAUGAAACGACGCCGCGUGCGUGAUGCCGGCCUUCGGGUUGUAAACCGCUUUCAGCCAUGACGCGGUAGUGGCAGAAGAAGCACCGGCUAACUACGUGCCAGCAGCCGCGGUAAUUC
rnacentral:rRNA from 1 species